UAGGGAAUCUUCCACAAUGGACGAAAGUCUGAUGGAGCAACGCCGCGUGAGUGAAGAAGGGUUUCGGCUCGUAAAACUCUGUUGUUAAAGAAGAACAUAUCUGAGAGUAACUGUUCAGGUAUUGACGGUAUUUAACCAGAAAGCCACGGCUAAAUACGUGCCAG
rnacentral:rRNA from 1 species